AUCCUGAGUAGGGCGGGACACGAGGAAUCCUGUCUGAAUCCGGGUCGACCACGAUCCAACCCUAAAUACUAAUACCAGAUCGAUAGUGCACAAGUACCGUGAGGGAAAGGUGAAAAGAACUGAGGUGAUCAGAGUGAAAUAGAACCUGAAACCAUUUGCUUACAAUCAUUCAGAGCACUAUGUAGCAAUACAGUGUGAUGGACUGCCUUUUGCAUAAUGAGCCUGCGAGUUGUGGUGUCUGGCAAGGUUAAGCAAACGCGAAGCCGUAGCGAAAGCGAGUCUGAAUAGGGCGCUUAGUCAGAUGCUGCAGACCCGAAACGAAGUGAUCUAUCCAUGAGCAAGUUGAAGCUAGUGUAAGAACUAGUGGAGGACUGAACCCAUAGGCGUUGAAAAGCCCCGGGAUGACUUGUGGAUAGGGGUGAAAGGCCAAUCAAACUUCGUGAUAGCUGGUUCUCUCCGAAAUAUAUUUAGGUAUAGCGUUGUGUCGUAAUAUAAGGGGGUAGAGCACUGAAUGGGCUAGGGCAUACACCAAUGUACCAAACCCUAUCAAACUCCGAAUACCUUAUAUGUAAUCACAGCAGUCAGGCGGCGAGUGAUAAAAUCCGUCGUCAAGAGGGAAACAACCCAGACUACCAGCUAAGGUCCCUAAAUCUUACUUAAGUGGAAAACGAUGUGAAGUUACUUAAACAACCAGGAGGUUGGCUUAGAAGCAGCCAUCCUUUAAAGAAAGCGUAAUAGCUCACUGGUCUAGUGAUUUUGCGCGGAAAAUAUAACGGGGCUAAAGUAAGUACCGAAGCUGUAGACUUAGUUUACUAAGUGGUAGGAGAGCGUUCUAUUUGCGUCGAAGGUAUACCGGUAAGGAGUGCUGGAGCGAAUAGAAGUGAGCAUGCAGGCAUGAGUAGCGAUAAUUAAUGUGAGAAUCAUUAACGCCGUAAACCCAAGGUUUCCUACGCGAUGCUCGUCAUCGUAGGGUUAGUCGGGUCCUAAGUCGAGUCCGAAAGGGGUAGACGAUGGCAAAUUGGUUAAUAUUCCAAUACCAACAUUAGUGUGCGAUGGAAGGACGCUUAGGGCUAAGGGGGCUAGCGGAUGGAAGUGCUAGUCUAAGGUCGUAGGAGGUUAUACAGGAAAAUCCGUAUAACAAUACUCCGAGAACUGAAAGGCUUUUUGAAGUCUUCGGAUGGAUAGAAGAACCCCUGAUGCCGUCGAGCCAAGAAAAGUUUCUAAGUUUAGCUAAUGUUGCCCGUACCGUAAACCGACACAGGUGGGUGGGAUGAGUAUUCUAAGGCGCGUGGAAGAACUCUCUUUAAGGAACUCUGCAAAAUAGCACCGUAUCUUCGGUAUAAGGUGUGGUUAGCUUCGUACUAGGAUUUACUCCGAAAGCGAAGAAACUUACAACAAAGAGUCCCUCCCGACUGUUUACCAAAAACACAGCACUCUGCUAACUCGUAAGAGGAUGUAUAGGGUGUGACGCCUGCCCGGUGCUCGAAGGUUAAUUGAUGGGGUUAGCAUUAGCGAAGCUCUUGAUCGAAGCCCGAGUAAACGGCGGCCGUAACUAUAACGGUCCUAAGGUAGCGAAAUUCCUUGUCGGUUAAAUACCGACCUGCAUGAAUGGCGUAACGAGAUGGGAGCUGUCUCAAAGAGGGAUCCAGUGAAAUUGUAGUGGAGGUGAAAAUUCCUCCUACCCGCGGCAAGACGGAAAGACCCCGUGGACCUUUACUACAGCUUGACACUGCUACUUGGAUAAGAAUGUGCAGGAUAGGUGGGAGGCUUUGAGUAUAUGACGCCAGUUGUAUAGGAGCCAUUGUUGAGAUACCACUCUUUCUUAUUUGGGUAGCUAACCAGCUUGAGUUAUCCUCAAGUGGGACAAUGUCUGGUGGGUAGUUUGACUGGGGCGGUCGCCUCCCAAAUAAUAACGGAGGCUUACAAAGGUUGGCUCAGAACGG
rnacentral:rRNA from 1 species